GUAGGAUGGCUGUUGCCAAAUUAUCGUACGAAGAUGGCAACGAGUUCAAUAGCAAGAUGGCUUUAUCUUCCUCCUCGAUUUUCACUCCGAGGUUGGCAAGCUGUGUGAUUAGUCCGUUAAACACAUUUAAAUGUGACAAAAAAUUCAUACCUUCACCCAUGUGUAGAGCGUAUAACUGCUUCUUCAGGUAUAAUUUAUUUGUCAGCGUUUUGGAUAUGUAUAGGCUUUCCAACCUUGUCCAAAUUCCACGUGCGGUGUCUUCAUCAAUGAUGUUAUUUACCACAUCAUCCGAUAAGUGCAACCUGAUUGCACUAGCAGCUCUUUCAUCCAAGUCAGCCCAAUCCUCAGGUUUCAUGGUAUCAGGAUUUUUGG
rnacentral:lncRNA from 1 species